rnacentral:misc_RNA from 1 species
GCGUGUCGUGCAGCCUCCGG